GACGAACGCUGGCGGCGUGCCUAAUACAUGCAAGUAGAACGCUGAAGGAGGAGCUUGCUUCUCUGGAUGAGUUGCGAACGGGUGAGUAACGCGUAGGUAACCUGCCUGGUAGCGGGGGAUAACUAUUGGAAACGAUAGCUAAUACCGCAUAAUAGUAGAUGUUGCAUGACAUUUGCUUAAAAGGUGCAAUUGCAUCACUACCAGAUGGACCUGCGUUGUAUGAGCUAGUUGGUGAGGUAACGGCUCACCAAGGCGACGAUACAUAGCCGACCUGAGAGGGGGAGCGGCCACACUGGGACUGUGACACGGCCCAGACUCCUACGGGAGGCAGCAGUAGGGAAACUUCAGCAAUGGACGGAAGUCUGACCGAGAAAGGCGGCGUGAGGAAGGAAGGUUUUCGGGUCGUAAAGCUCUGUUGUAAGAGAAGAACGAGUGUGAGAGUGUAAAGUUCACACUGUGACGGUAUCUUACCAGAAAGGGACGGCUAACUACGUG
rnacentral:rRNA from 1 species